rnacentral:tRNA from 1 species
GGAGUGAUGACCGAGAGGCCGAAGGUGCUCCCCUGCUAAGGGAGUAUACGGUGUAGAGCCGUAUCGAGGGUUCGAAUCCCUCUCACUCCGCCA